UACGGGGGGGGCAAGCGUUGUUCGGAAUUACUGGGCGUAAAGGGCUCGUAGGCGGCCAACUAAGUCGGAUGUGAAAUCCCCAGGCUCAACUUGGGAACUGCAUCCGAUACUGGAUGGCUUGAAUUCGGGAGAGGGAUGCAGAAUUCCAGGUGUAGCGGUGAAAUGCGUAGAUAUCUGGAGGAAUACCGGUGGCGAAGGCGGGACUCUGGGCCGAUACUGACGCUGAGGAGCGAAAAGCGCGGGGAGCAAACAGG
rnacentral:rRNA from 1 species